AACGCACACACACGCACAAAGAGUACAGUUAGUGAAGUACAGCAAAAAGACAAAAAAGAUUAACAGACCAACCAACCAACAAACCUGCGGCAGCCACAAUGACGUCAGCAAUUUUAGUGUGUUGGCUAAGUUGAUCCUUUGGAGUGUAUCGGUGAGAAAUUGUGACUGUCGCGUCACCUGCCACAGAGAACAGAGGCGUUAGGGGUGCACACGCUUUAGUUUUAUCACCCAGCAAUGCACGCACACAUCCUGUCCUACCUCCGGGCCUCUCGUGACGGCCGUCUGUGUGCAGUAACAUGGCGAUGGGCAUGCCCACGUUCUUGGAGCGUCCGGCAACCACGACAUUCUUCCCAAAAGUAGGAAUACCUGGAAGAUAAGAAAAUUUGCUUCUUUUAAAAAGGGUUAAAAUGCUGUUGAAGAAUCUGAGAGGAAGAAGGUGGUCACUAUAGUUACCUGUGCGUUUAAUAAUUUCCCAGACACCCCAGGGAGUGGCGGGGAGCAUGGUGGACUGAUCCAGGCACAUGCGGCCCACGUUGACCACGUGGAAACCGUCCACAUCCUUGGUUGGGGAAACUGCAUUGCAGACUGCACGCUCAUCGAUGUGUUCUGUCCAAACAAAAGGGAGUUACAGUCAAAACAACUUUAUCAACUGGUUCUGCUCACCGUGAUAAGGUCAAAUUCAGUUUCUCAGAGCAAAUUCUGCCUCCAGCAUGAAAGAAAAUCCAAGCAAGAGACAGCAGGCAGGUGGGCAGUUUUCUGCUCCAACGUAGGCGCUGCAAACGCACGUUCACCAAAGCUUGCAUUCAGCCGUCAUACUGGAUUUCUAGACGCCACGCACACGUACGCAAACCCGACUCCCAAUGCAGGAUUUCCCAGUUUUUCUGUACCUGGCAAAGGCAGCUGUACCAGUAGACCGUCCACGCGGGGGUCUGUGUUGAGUUUAUCGAUCAAGUCCAGUAACUCCUCCUCACUGAUGUUCGUGUGCUUGAGAAUCGUCUCACUUGAGAUUCCUGUGGGAGGUCGAAGUGUGAAAACAACUCCGCUCACAGGCGAACAUUUGCAGUUUUGCCAAUCACACGUAUGAGGAAUGUGCACCACCCCACCAAAAAAAACAAAACAAAACAAAACCAACACCUACCGACAUCAGCCGCAGCCCGUGUCUUGUUCAGGACGUAGGAGUGGCUGGCUGGGUUGUCUCCCACGAGAAUAACACUCAGAUGGGGUCUUCGGUGGCCGGUUGAGACCCAUUCCUCUACAUCGGCCCGGACCUCAUCCCUAAUUUGCCGUGCGAGUUUCUUUCCUGAGAUGACCACCGCCUCCUGCCUGGGAGUUGGCGAGACAAUUGUGGUCAGAAGACAAGUUAUUGGGCAUCAAGAAGCUGGGAUUCAUUGUUUAAUUCAUGACAGAUUUGUACACAGCUUUAUUGAAAAGUGUUGGCCAACAUGGCACAAAUAACUGCACUGCAGCGCCAAAGCUAAGCCAAAAUUCUUUCAACUAGGACUCAUGUAAACUCAUCUCAACCUCAAUCCAAGCACCAGUUCUAGCCUCUAAAAUUAGACAUUAGACUGGGCCACAUGCUUUACUACCACUUAUGUUUCAAUAUGUAUAGUAAACUGGUAGAAACAAGCAAGGAAAGUCUUUGAGCAUCUAACCAUCAGGCACGGUCGGAGAUAUUCGAUGGUUAAAACUCAUGUACAGUAUUUAGGACUGUACAAACUGCUGCCGCACCGUUUUGUCCUCUUUACACAAGUGUCAAAGAUGGUUAUCCGUUAUAUAAUGACAUGCAGAGCGCAGGGGCUAAUAACUGAAGAGUAAUGAGCCAUUGACAGUGAUGUAACCGUCACUUUUAUCCUGUCCAAAGUAAUUAAAUCCUCAGAGAAAAGGAUUGAGUGUUUUGGGGAGAAUGGGACCAGUGUAUCAGGUCCCAGACGCAAUGUGUCGAGGUUACAGGGCUAAUAGAAGUUCAAAUCCCCCGACAGGCUGAGGAAAGAUCUCUCUUUACAAAUGUUUGAAUCACUCAUGUUCAUAAUGUUUAUCUUUUGUUAUCGUUUACUCUGCACAUGAUAACACAGCACUAGUACCUCUUGCAGCUGAGUUUGCAGAAAUUUUCCUGGCAUAUAUAAAUGAAAUUAACUUGAAGUAACGUGAUCCCACCAGAUCCAAUUUCACAAGCAGUGAUGUAAGAUAAUCACACACACAUAUGUCCUAAAUUAUCAGCCUUGUGUCUUUGUAAAUCAGGCAGAUCAUGUGCAGGACCCACGAGAUUUAGGAGUAGUUUUUUUGCGUGUGAAAGAUUAGUUAAUUGCAUGUAGUUAUACUGCACUCAGCACGUUUCCAAUAAAUACCUGCACAUGCAGACACUUGCUGACUGGCUGAUGCAGCAUUACUCUCAGCGUGUUAUAUCAGGUUUUACAGACAACGUGAUCAGAUCUGCCCUGCGUGUUCAUUUUUCCCCAGGUGUGCACAACUACAUCUCGAACUCCACCUGAAGCCUGCCACUGGGUGCAAGCAUUCACACAGAUUUCAUCAGCCAGCCCCCCCACACCUCAUCUACACCUGCAAUAUUACCGGCUUGACGCUGGGGGCGCUGCGAAAUGUGUUCCACUGAGGACGUUUAGUGCAAUAAAACAAUAAAAGCCAGCAGAAUAAAACCCAGCGACCUCAUCCGCGUACACAAAAGCCUACAAACAAGUGGGCACACGGAAAAAAACAAAACAAAAAAGAAGCAAACACUCCCACCGAGUGAGGUAACAGAGCCGCCUCAGAGGUCGUAAAAUGACCGUUAAAGCCGCUCAGAUCGCAGCAGAUGUGCGGAGGAGACUCACCUCGAGGCGGACGUGUGCAGUUUACAGACUUGGUGCUGUGUGUGCUGGCACAGUUUCCUGAGAGUCCUGAGCGCUGCCAUUUCUCACCGGCUCACAGAAGACGAGACACAGCUACAGCGGGUCUGACGGAGGGAGGCUGGGAAGGAGGAAGAGGAGCAGAGCGGCUUUAAACACCUCCCCCCCGCUCGUGUAAGCUGCCUACGUCACUGCUAUCAGUCACCAGCCCUCUGCUGCGGAUACCAGAGCCCUGCCCCUUUACAGCAGCCCUGCGUGGCACAGGCGUGGAAGUUCAUGAGCGGUACCAGGGCAGAGUUGUUGUUGUUUUUAGAGCUUUAAAGGUAUUUUUCACGUACAGUUUCCGCGUUCAAACAACCAGGAUCAUCAUAGUUAACUAAAACAACAUUGAAACCAAGUCUAGAACUUUUUGCAGUUUUCACCGCAGGCCAAAGUCACACCCUGCAAUGCUCAGAGACACUGCAAAAACCCAAGAACCCCAUCACAGACUCUACAGGCUUCAGUUAGAGGUUUCUGGUUCAGCUUCGCCCACUUCUGAGGUGCACGAAGAAUAGCAAACAUCUGAGGACUCUGACAAAGGCUACAGGCAACAAGGAACUAUAGAGUUGUUCUUCAUACUAUAAAUGUAGUUUGGAAGAGUUGCCAGGAGAAAGCACCAUGUUUGUCAUAAAUCAAACACAACAAAUCAGCACAAAGACUUCAUAGCAGCUGUCAGGCACGGUGGUGGAGGGGUGAUGAUUUGGGCUUGUUCUGCAGCCACAGGACGCUUUUGCACUCAUCGAGUUGACCGACUUUCAUUUUACUCAUGUUGUCUGUGUCACUUUUCAGAAAUUUGUUCAUGGACACGUUUAUUAACCAAAAUAAAAAUAAACAUUUGAGGAAAAAAUCUGAAACAAUAAUUUGUACUUACAAGACUGACUGAAAUAAAAAAUAAACAGAAAACAUUCUUACUUUUUGGCAGUGUGGUCAGAUUUGAAACACCUAGACAGCUUAAUGAGGCUUUGGUGUAAAUUAAUUAGGGUAAUUUACAUCUGGCUUUGCAUUUAGAUUAUGUAAUUAUUUUAUAUUUUAUUUAUUUUAUUUAUAUCUGUAAUUUAUAUUUUAUAUUGUGAUUUUUUAUCUGUAUCAUGAUUUUACUGGAAAGCAUUUGGCUGUACUUCGGUCUUUAAAAUGUGCUAUAUAAAUAAAUUUUGAUUGAUUGAUUAAUA